GUGCUCACUAUAGCAACACACAUACUAAAAUUGGAAUGAUACAAAGAAGAUUAGCAUGGCCCCUGCACAAGGAUGGCAUGCAAAUUUGUGAAGCAUUCCAUACUUUU